rnacentral:rRNA from 1 species
UGCCAGCCGCCGCGGUAAUACGGAGGGGGCGAGCGUUAUUCGGAAUUACUGGGCGUAAAGGGUGCGUAGGCGGCCCAUCAAGUUAGACGUGAAAUCCCAAAGCUUAACUUUGGAAUUGCUUUCAAAACUGGUUAACUAGAGUUCAAUAGGGGAUGAUGGAAUUCCUGGUGUAGAGGUGAAAUUCUUAGAUAUCAGGAGGAACACCGGUGGCGAAGGCGAUCAUCUGGAUUGUAUCUGACGUUGAGGCACGAAAGCGUGGGGAGCAAACAGGAUUAGAUA